rnacentral:rRNA from 1 species
CGAGAAAGUUUCUUCGGAAACGAGUAAAGUGGCGCAAGGGUGAGUAACACGUGAAUAAUCUGCCUUCGAAUUUGGGAUAACUUGGCGAAAGUUAAGCUAAUACCAGAUAAGACCACAUUUCGAGAGAAAUGCGGCCAAAGGAGCCUCAAGCUCCGUUUGAAGAUGAGUUCGCGGACCAUUAGCUAGUUGGUGAGAUAACAGCUCACCAAGGCGACGAUGGUUAGCCGGCCUGAGAGGGUGAUCGGCCACACUGGAACUGAGACACGGUCCAGACUCCUACGGGAGGCAGCAGUGGGGAAUUUUGCGCAAUGGGCGAAAGCCUGACGCAGCAACGCCGCGUGAGCGAUGAAGGCUUUAGGGUCGUAAAGCUCUGUCAAGUGGGAAGAAUCCAUGACGGUACCACUGAAGGAAGCCCCGGCUAAUUCCGUGCCAGCAGCCGCGGUAAUACGGGGGGGGCAAGCGUUGUUCGGAAUUAUUGGGCGUAAAGCGUGUGUAGGUGGUUGAAUAAGUCAGCCGUGUAAGCCCUCGGCUCAACCGGGGAAUUGCGUUUGAAACUAUUCA